rnacentral:misc_RNA from 1 species
GAUGAAGAACGUAGCGAAAUGCGAUAAGUAAUGUGAAUUGCAGAAUUCAGUGAAUCAUCGAAUCUUUGAACGCACCUUGCGCCCUUUGGGCUUCUGAAGGGCAUGCCUGUUUGAGUAUCAUGAACACCUCAACUCCUUAUGGUCUUCCAUGAUGAGCUUGGACUUUGGGGGUUUUGCUGGCCUACAGUCAGCUCCUCUAAAAUAAAUCAGCUUACCGGUGUUUGGUGGGUAUCAUGGGUGUGAUAACUAUCUACGCUCGUGGUUUUCCACCAGGUAACCUUCAGCAGUGGAGGUUCACUGGAGCUCAUAGAUGUCUCUCCUCAGCGAGGACAGCCCUUUGAAUGUUUGAUCUCAAAUCAGGUAGGACUACCCGCUGAACUUAAGCAUAUCAAUAAGCGGAGGA